rnacentral:rRNA from 1 species
AUUGAACGCUGGCGGCAGGCCUAACACAUGCAAGUCGAGCGAGCGGCGGACGGGUGAGUAAUGUAUGGGGACUGCCCGAUAGAGGGGGAUAACUACUGGAAACGGUGGCUACUACCGCAUACUAUCGGCUAAACCCUAUGGGAUUAGCGAGUAGGUGGGGUAAAGGCUCACCUAGGCGACGAUCUCUAGCUGGGCGGAGAGGAUGAUCAUCAACACUGUGACAGAGACACGGCCCAGACUCCUACGGCGGCAGCAGUGGGGAAUAUUGCACAAUGGGCGCAAGCAUGAUGCAGCCAUGCCGCGCGUAUGAAGAAGGCCUUAGGGUUGUAAAGUACUUUCAGCUGGGAGGCGUUACCCGCAGAAGAAGCACAGGCUAACUCCGUGCCAGCAGCUGCGGUAAUUU